AACACGGCGGCGUCAGGGAGAUCAUCGGUGAUAGAUUCAAUAUGGGGAUGUACGGGGUCGACGAUACAGAAGGAUGAUUUGAGGAAGAGGAUUACGAUACCGGAGUAUUUAAGGGUAGCGAUGAGAGAAGCAAUUCAGAACAAGGAUGUUGAUUCUGUGAUGCGGCAUUACGAUAUGGCUAAUGCUGCCGGAGCUGAACCUCCUCAGCCGUCGGAAUCGCCGAUCGUCGUUUUUAUUAAUGCGAAAAGUGGUGGUAG
rnacentral:misc_RNA from 1 species